CAGGGGGUGGGCAUUUCCCGGGGAGAGGGGAGGAGCGAGGCCCAACUAGGGCCCAAAAAGGUCGUGUCUUGCCGGCAUCAAUGGUGUCUCAUCCUUGAAAGGAAGCGGCCUUGAGCAGCGUCUUGGGCUCUUGGGGAUUGAAACACGGACCUGGAUUUAUGGGAGAGAGGAGAAAGAGAGGGAGAGAAACAUUGCUGUGAAAAGCAUGGAUCUGUUGUUUCUCCUACAUGUUGACCUAACCAGGGAAAGAACCCACACAGCCCAAGCAUGUGCCCUGACUGGGAAUCGAACCCGCAGCUUUUUGCGUUACCAGAUGAAGCUCAACCUGUCAGGGUGCAAAUUAGGGCAGUCCAGUGAGAGCCUUAGCUCUUCACUCAGUUAUUCUGCUUGUAUCUGUUUCAUUUAUGGCAAG